rnacentral:lncRNA from 12 species
AUGAACUUGGAGGUGGUGCCCUGUCUUGGUAAGGCACAUCUGUCUUGCACUCAGCUGCACUUGGUGUCCUCAAGCUCUCUGAGCAGUAAAGCUGCCGUCUUCCAUGACAAUGGGAAGGGGCAGGGAGCCAGAAUCCUGAGGAUUAAAACAUGCCGUUGAAUGAUAUUUUUAGUAUACUUUGGGAAUGGAAUUGCUUUCAUUUACCCACAGAAGCAUAUUAGAAGAAUGAAUAAUCUUUCCCUGAAAUCUCAACAUAUUAAAAAUUUAUAACCAAGCCCUGUAAAGGAGCAUCAGAUUCUACUCUCAGGAAGAAAAGAAAAACACUAUAGAAUUAAAGGGGAAAAUGUUCCAAAGAACAAUUUAUAAUGUCUAGUUUUACAUGAUGUCUGGCUGAAUUGAGGCACACAAAUGAACAUACUUGAACUGGGCCACUUGUUGGAGUUUACCUCUGUGACCCACUCUGACAACAUUGUGGCUAUCUGCGCUUCACUAAAUCAGACCCCAUGAAGACCCUAUAGGGCAACACCACUCACGGUGGCAUCAUUCAGUGAAGGAAAAUAUGCCUGAGGGCUCUGAACACUACCUGGUUGCAGGCUUCUGGGUAGAGUUACAGAAUACCUGUUGACCAACUUUACUGGAUUAUGCAAUGACAGGGUAAAAUGAGAAUAAUAUUAAAAAACCUUCCAUUUCUAACAUUUGACUCUAGAAAUAUGAAUUAAUUCAAUUAUGAUUGCAGAUAUAGAUUGAGAACAAUCUAUCUGUCCUGAAAAUCCCACUGCAUAACAGAGGGGUGGGUAGUCAUUUUCCAACCUUUGGACUUCGAAAUUAGAGUAGGGCUAUAACAUGUUCUCUGCAUCCUGACUUGGCAAGAAUUUGUGGGCAGCUAUCAUCUGCACAGAAGAGCAAAAGAACUUAACAUGCUUUUUAUAAUCGAUCAGCAUUGCUAUGGCAGCCAGCUCUACAGUAUCUGCAUAUGAAUUAUCAACUGCAGUAUUAUUGUAGAUUUUGCUCUGAGAAAACUCUGACAUCAUUUACUGGCAUUCUUUGUGCCCUUAGGGAUAACAACUAAUUUUAAUGUUAGCCUAGGCUAAAAAUUAAUUAUGAAAGCAAAUACAUUCUGCAAAAAGACAACAAGCCAAUCCCGCAUCCCUGAAGCAAA